UACCAGCACCCCGAGUGGUCGGGACGAUUAUUGGGCCUAAAGCAUCCGUAGCCGGUUUUACAAGUCCUCCGUUAAAUCCAGCUGCUUAACAGAUGGGCUGCGGAGGAUACUAUAAGACUAGGAGGCAGGAGAGGCAAGCGGUACUCAGUGGGUAGGGGUAAAAUGCGCAGAUAUCAGGAGGAACACCGGUGGCGAAGGCGGAUCUCUGGGCCUUACCUGACGCUCAGGCACGAAAGCUAGGGGAGCGAACAGG
rnacentral:rRNA from 1 species